rnacentral:rRNA from 1 species
GACGAACGCUGGCGGCGUGCUUAACACAUGCAAGUCGAACGGUGAAGCUCCAGCUUGCUGGAGUGGAUCAGUGGCGAACGGGUGAGUAACACGUGUGCAACCUGCCCCUGACUCUGGAAUAAGCGCUGGAAACGGCGUCUAAUACUGGAUACGAGAAGGGUCCGCAUGGGCACUUUCUGGAAAGUUUUUCGGUUGGGGAUGGGCUCGCGGCCUAUCAGCUUGUUGGUGAGGUAAUGGCUCACCAAGGCGACGACGGGUAGCCGGCCUGAGAGGGCGACCGGCCACACUGGGACUGAGACACGGCCCAGACUCCUACGGGAGGCAGCAGUGGGGAAUAUUGCACAAUGGGCGAAAGCCUGAUGCAGCGACGCCGCGUGAGGGAUGACGGCCUUCGGGUUGUAAACCUCUUUCAGCAGGGAAGAAGCGAAAGUGACGGUACCUGCAGAAGAAGCACCGGCUAACUACGUG